CUCCAUGAUUCAGCGGCGGACGGGUGAGUAAUGCCUAGGAAUCUGCCUAUUAGUGGGGGACAACGUUUCGAAAGGAACGCUAAUACCGCAUACGUCCUACGGGAGAAAGCAGGGGACCUUCGGGCCUUGCGCUAAUAGAUGAGCCUAGGUCGGAUUAGCUAGUUGGUGAGGUAAUGGCUCACCAAGGCGACGAUCCGUAACUGGUCUGAGAGGAUGAUCAGUCACACUGGAACUGAGACACGGUCCAGACUCCUACGGGAGGCAGCAGUGGGGAAUAUUGGACAAUGGGCGAAAGCCUGAUCCAGCCAUGCCGCGUGUGUGAAGAAGGUCUUCGGAUUGUAAAGCACUUUAAGUUGGGAGGAAGGGCAUUAACCUAAUACGUUAGUGUUUUGACGCUACCGACAGAAUAAGCACCGGCUAACUUCGUGCCAGCAGCCGCGGUAAUACGAAGGGUGCAAGCGUUAAUCGGAAUUACUGGGCGUAAAGCGCGCGUAGGUGGUUUGUUAAGUUGGAUGUGAAAGCCCCGGGCUCAACCUGGGAACUGCAUCCAAAACUGGCAAGCUAGAGUAUGGCAGAGGGUGGUGGAAUUUCCUGUGUAGC
rnacentral:rRNA from 1 species